rnacentral:rRNA from 1 species
GACGAACGUCGGCGGCGUGCUUAAUACAUGCAAGUCAACUGAAGCAGUGGUAGCAAUAUCGCUGUGGAAGUGGCGCACGGGUGAGUAACACGUAGGUAAUCUGCCUUCAGGUCUGGCAUAACUCCGGGAAACCGGGGCUAAUAGCAGAUGAUGCAGCGGCUCGACAUCGAGACAGUUGUUAAAGCUAUGGCGCCUGAAGAUGAGCCUGCGUCUGAUUAGCUAGUUGGCGGGGUAACGGCCCACCAAGGCAACGAUCAGUAGCUGGUCUGAGAGGAUGAUCAGCCACACUGGAACUGAGACACGGUCCAGACUCCUACGGGAGGCAGCAGUAAGGAAUAUUGCUCAAUGGGAGAAAUCCUGAAGCAGCAACGCCGCGUGAGGGACGAAGGGCUUUUGCUUGUAAACCUCUGUAGUGAGAGAAAAAAAUCCCAAUCUUUGGGACAUGAUGGUAUCUCAAAAGUAAGCCCCGGCUAACUACGUG